CGAAUACGAGACGCUAAGGCGUCGAAGUAGUGUAUGUCAUACUUCCAAGAAAAGCUUGCACUGUCAUAGAUAAAAAACGCCUGUACCAUAACCGACACAGGUGGGUAGGUAGAGUAUACUAAGGGGCGCGAGAUAACUCUCUCUAAGGAACUCGGCAAAAUAACUCCGUAACUUCGGGAGAAGGAGUGCCUUAUUUAUAAGGCUGCAAUAACAAGAUCCAAGCAACUGUUUAUCAAAAACACAGGUCUCCGCUAAGUCGUAAGACGAUGUAUGGGGGCUGACGCCUGCCCAGUGCCAGAAGGUUAAAGAAGUUGGUUAGCUUUUGCGAAGCUGAUAACUGAAGCCCUGGUGAACGGCGGCCGUAACAAUAACGGUCCUAAGGUAGCGAAAUUCCUUGUCGGGUAAGUUCCGACCCGCACGAAAGGCGUAAUGAUUUGGAUACUGUCUCGGAGAGGGGCUCGGUGAAAUAGACUUGUCUGUGAAGAUGCGGACUACCUGCACCAGGACAGAAAGACCCUAUGAAGCUUUACUGUAACUUGAAAUUGAAAUUGGACUUUAUUCGCGCAGCAUAGGUGGGAGGCGUUGAUUAUAAUCUCGUGGGAUUAUUGGAGCCAUCAGUGAGAUACCACUCUUGUAAUGUUAGAUUUCUAACUUUGAAUCAUUAUCUGGUCAAAGAACAGUUUCAGGCGGGCAGUUUGACUGGGGCGGUCGCCUCCUAAACGGUAACGGAGGCGUACAAAGGUUUCCUCUGAACGGUUAGAAAUCGUAUCUAGAGUGUAAAGGCAUAAGGAAGCUUGACUGUGAGACCUACAAGUCGAGCAGGGACGAAAGUCGGUCUUAGUGAUCUGACGGUACUGAGUGGAAAGGCCGUCACUCAACGGAUAAAAGUUACUCUAGGAUAACAGGCUGAUCUCCCCCAAGAGUUCACAUCGACGGGGAGGUUUGGCACCUCGAUGUCGGCUCAUCGCAUCCUGGGGCGGUAGUACGUCCCAAGGGUUGGGCUGUUCGCCCAUGAAAGCGGUACGCGAGCUGGGUUCAGAACGUCGUGAGACAGUUCGGUCCAUAUCCGGUGUAGGCGUUAGAAUAUUGAGAGGAGCCUUCUUUAGUACGAGAGGACCGAGAAGGACAUCCCUCUGGUGUACCAGUUAUCGUGCCAACGGUAAACGCUGGGUAGCUAUGUAUGGAGUGGAUAACCGCUGAAAGCAUCUAAGUGGGAAGCCCACCUCAAGAUAAGUAUUCUC
rnacentral:rRNA from 1 species